UCAGACUUUCCCAAAGGACGUGCUCUUGA
rnacentral:piRNA from 1 species